AUAAGAAAAUGUAAAUAAAAUAUAAAUAUAUAAAAAAGACUUGAUAAAAUAGGCACAGGCCAUGGGGCCUCGGGCCCGCGGGGGCGCGGGGGCGCGGGGCCGGGCUGAGCGUCUGCAGUGGACCUCGGCCAGCACCCUUCCCCCACCCCGGCCCGCUGCAGCGCUUGCUCUGGGCCCCGGCCCCGGUGACCGCUGCCUGGGCUCUAGGGAGGUGGCUGGGAGGCCUGCGAGCUCUGUGCCCGUGGCUGCCUGACAUGGGCCACGCACAGCUCCGGUAGGAGCGUGGCCUGCCCCAGGGCCGUCUGGUGGCCCCCACGCUGUGUGCAGACGGUGUCUCCCACCCUGUAGCACGUCUCAUCAACUUCCUGGCGUGAAAUUCUCCCAUUUUAAUUUCUUUUAGGGAAGAAACAAAGGUUUUUUAGAUGAGAGGAGCUUAGAGGUCCUGUUGUUCUGUUGGGAAGAUGUAAGUUUAAGUCGGUGGCCCUGCCGUGCGGUGCACCUGCGGGGCCCGGCGGCCCGCGGGCUGGAGUCGGGGCCGUGGUCGUGCUGCUCCUGCGUCCUGCCAUUCUCGGUGAUGCUCGGGCCCCAGUCUGGAACUAGGAAGCCCCCCUUGGGGUGUGUCCACCCCUUACUCUGAGCUGCAGGUGCAUAGCCUGGGAGACAGCCUCCUCCGUCUGCCCGCCCACAGGCCAGGGAGCCCGAGACACUGUCCUCACCUCCGGGCCCCAGGAUUUCCUGCUCAUGGGAAGCAGGGGUGGGGCUGCCCUUCUCCGUGUGUGGGGGCCUGGAGUGGCAAGGGCCUCCUCUGGUGCUGACCAAGCCCCUGAGCUGCCUCCGUGGCCCCUGCAUCCCCUGCCCACCAGCUGUAUCCCACCUGUGAGGGGCAGGGAGUGGCCGGCUGUCUGGGUGGGGCUGCCCAGGGCCUCUGCAGGUGGAGCGGGGCAGGGCACGAGGCGUGUGCAGCGUCCACCCUGCCUGGUGUCAGACGGGCACCUCUGUGGCCGUGACCCCCUAAGGUGUGAGCUCUGGACGCUGAGUGCAGGGACGGUGGGCGCUCCCCUGCUGGAGUCCUGGGGGUCUGUUCAGUGCACCUCUGCCCAGAUGGAUACUGAGAGCCCGGGUGUGCGACAGUCCUGCUGGGGUGGACGGAGGAGCGGGCAAAGAGGACACAGCCCCUGCUCCCCCGGCUCCUGCUCCAGUGGGGGCAGAACACCAGCUCCAUUAGGCAUGAGAAUCCGGCGG
rnacentral:lncRNA from 1 species